AAGAAAUCCGAUCCUAUCAGAAACAGCGGUACCGAUAGCAUGGAGGAAAACGGUGCUUUUCAGCGACAUCGGCUGGCCAGUCUGUUGAUGAAGGUCCCUUACUCUGAAUUUGAGAAGCAGAGAACUCAGGACAAACAGCGCUGCAAGGCAUUGUGGUUCUCAACGAGUGCAGCUUCGUGAGUAACCUGGAGAGAAGAAAGUGACACAACAUGGGAUAGUGCUUAAUUGUGUAGUGAAGGAAAAAUGUACAUGUUUUUUUUUUUAUCUGUUUCAAAUAAAAACCUUGCAAGUC